AGUGUGGAACUUUACCCUCCUGAUGAAGACGCCAGAGUUGGGUAUCCCCAAAGUGAUGAUCAAAGAAGUGCUUUGCAUGGGGCUUGAGAAAACAUCUUACUGUUUAAGAACAGAACGUCUUACUAUCUAAGAACCUGAAUAGAAGGAGAUGCUUUCAGUAUUGGGUGUUUGAAAAGUUGGUCAAAGAAGGGGAGACGAUGGUUGAUUAAGGGGGGGAUGGUGACAAUUAUUUUGUAACUCAUAGAAGGACAGAUGUUGAUGUAAAAGUUGAUGGUUUUGGUGGAAUAAUCAAGAGCAUGUUUCUGAAAUUAAUGUAAAAUAUAGAGAGACCCCUGAAAUCACUGCUUAAAUUACACGGGUGUUGUGGUGCUUGGAAAGAGAAAACUUUGGAAGUAUAAUUGUAAAAAUAAUAUUAUACAGAAAAACAGAAGAGAAAACUUAAGGACAGCUUUCUCAAAUCGCUGUUAUUCUUGAAUCAUCUGAAAGCAGUAUAAGUGACUGGCACCAAUAUACAUCGGAGAGUAAAUCAUUGCACAAGGAAACUUGAUUUUCUUUUCAUUAUAGAAUCUGGAGAAAAAAAGCUAUGAAGAGCAAGAGGUGGUAGAGAAUGGUGUUGUUGAAAUUGCCUGACAUCACUGGAGAUAAUUUGCCCUGGAAAGAAGCACUCCUUAGGGAGGAGCAUCUGCACAUUCCAUU
rnacentral:lncRNA from 1 species